rnacentral:lncRNA from 1 species
UUCGUAAGCCAAUAAAAUAGAUCAUUGUUUAUGAACGCCUAAUUUCUCUAUCUCCCCUAACAAAUUUCAGCUUAUUUUCAGUAGCUAUUCUUUCUCUCCCUUUUUCUCUUUCUCUCUCCCUAGCAAAAUUUCUCACGUCUGUAUCUCUCUUUUGAUGAACUGGGUGAGAGAAACGAUAAAGAAGAAAACUGUUCUCCGAUUGUUAGGGAGAUAAUUAAAAAUUAAUAAUAGAUAUUAAAGGAUAAACUGGAAAUGAGUACAUAUCCUUUUACAUUAAUAAAAGAUAAUGAAUUAAAUAAGAAAAUGCUGAUGUGGACAUAAAUUAAAGCACCCUAAUUAAAAUUUUAAAAGUUCAAUCAAAACUUAAAACACUACAAAUGUUUAGUUUAAAAAAUGUGAAAAAUAAGUGGUAGAAUCUAAUUUUCUCUAAAAAUAAUUUAGGGGAUGGGAGAGUUUUGAACCCAGGACGCAUAGGUAUAAACUCAACACCAUAUCGACUAGGGCCUUUUAAACCACUUGAUAUUGUGGAUUUGUCAACUGGGUUUUAUCUAUUUAGAAUAAUUUUACUUCUUUAUUUUUUUAAAAGAGUUUUUACAAUGUGUUGGAAAAGUUGAGAUAAACAAAAUAAGUUAUUAUUUUAAAAUCGCUCACCUCAAAUUUCUGAUGUCGUUACACAUACAAGAAGAUUUUUAUGUGAAUAUUGAAAAGCUAAUAAUAUAAAAUUAAUUAGAUGGAAAAAGCAAAAAUAUAAGGAAUAUGGUUGGAAAUCGCCAAAUAAUGAUUUUUUUUUUAAAUUAAUUUUGAUGGAAAUGUAAAAUCUAAUGGUACUUUUGUUGCAAGGUUUCUAAUAAAAAAAUUCUUUAGGUCAUACAAUGUUAUAAAGUAAUUAAGUGCUUUUCCUUUAGGUUUCUCUUCUGUUCUAGAGGUUGAAACUACAACAUUGAGGAGAGCUCUUCAAUGGAUCAUCCGAAUGAAGUAUGAUAAAGUUAACAUUGAGGGAGACUCUAAAGUCCUAAUGCAUUUGGGUAGAUUAAAUUUGUGUGUUAUUAUGAUUAUAAUCAUUUAUAUUAUCUACAGGAUUCAGUUUGUAAUGUUUGUUAAUUAUCAUUUCAAAAUAAAAGCGGUUGUUUCAUGUGAUGAUUUUAUACCGAGAACUUUUAUUUACACCCAGUAAUCCUCUUUUCACACCCAACUUAAAAAUUUUGUCCAGCAAACUUACCUUUUUACCCUCAAAUACAAAAUUGACAAACUUAAAAAAAAAAACACAAACACGUAAACCCACCCA